rnacentral:rRNA from 1 species
AUUGAACGCUGGCGGCAGGCUUAACACAUGCAAGUCGAGCGGAGAUGAGGUGCUUGCACCUUAUCUUAGCGGCGGACGGGUGAGUAAUGCUUAGGAAUCUGCCUAUUAGUGGGGGACAACAUUCCGAAAGGAAUGCUAAUACCGCAUACGUCCUACGGGAGAAAGCAGGGGAUCUUCGGACCUUGCGCUAAUAGAUGAGCCUAAGUCGGAUUAGCUAGUUGGUGGGGUAAAGGCCUACCAAGGCGACGAUCUGUAGCGGGUCUGAGAGGAUGAUCCGCCAGACUGGGACUGAGACACGGCCCAGACUCCUGCGGGAGGCAGCAGUGGGGAAUAUUGGACAAUGGGGGGAACCCUGAUCCAGCCAUGCCGCGUGUGUGAAGAAGGCCUUAUGGUUGUAAAGCACUUUAAGCGAGGAGGAGGCUACUGAGACUAAUACUCUUGGAUAGUGGACGUUACUCGCAGAAUAAGCACCGGCUAACUCUGUGCCAGCCGCCGCCGUAAUAC